rnacentral:rRNA from 1 species
UACGUAGGGUGCAAGCGUUGUCCGGAAUUAUUGGGCGUAAAGAGCUCGUAGGCGGUCUGUCGCGUCGGCUGUGAAAACCCGGAGCUCAACUCCGGGCCUGCAGUGGGUACGGGCAGACUAGAGUGCGGUAGGGGAGAUUGGAAUUCCUGGUGUAGCGGUGGAAUGCGCAGAUAUCAGGAGGAACACCGAUGGCGAAGGCAGAUCUCUGGGCCGUAACUGACGCUGAGGAGCGAAAGCGUGGGGAGCGAACAGG